GUGCUCACUUUGGCAGCAUAUAUACAGACAUUGGAACGAUACAGAGCACAUUAGCAUGGCCCCUGUGCAAGGAUGACACGCAAAUUUGUGAAGCAUUCCACAUUUUA
ensembl:snRNA U6 U6 spliceosomal RNA